rnacentral:snRNA from 1 species
UUUGCACAGUAGCAGUAUCAUAACCAAUGAGGUUUAUCCUAAGCGUGGUUAUUGCUAAUUGAAAACUUGCCCCA